UACGUAGGGGGCAAGCGUUGUCCGGAUUUAUUGGGCGUAAAGAGCGUGUAGGCGGCCGCACAGGUCCGUUGUGAAAACUGGAGGCUUAACCUUCAGACGUCGAUGGAAACCGUGCGGCUAGAGUCCGGAAGAGGAGAAUGGAAUUCCUGGUGUAGCGGUGAAAUGCGUAGAUAUCGGGAGGAACACCAGUGGCGAAGGCGGCCUUCUGGGCGGCAACUGACGCUGAGGCGCGAAAGCGUGGGGAGCGAACCGG
rnacentral:rRNA from 1 species